GAAGGUGUGUCGUGAGGCAUGCUGGAGGUAUCAGAAGUGCGAAUGCUGACAUAAGUAACGAUAAAGCGGGUGAAAAGCCCGCUCGCCGGAAGACCAAGGGUUCCUGUCCAACGUUAAUCGGGGCAGGGUGAGUCGACCCCUAAGGCGAGGCCGAAAGGCGUAGUCGAUGGGAAACGGGUUAAUAUUCCCGUACUUGGUGUUACUGCGAAGGGGGGACGGAGAAGGCUAUGUUGGCCGGGCGACGGUUGUCCCGGUUUAAGCGUGUAGGUGUGUGUUCCAGGUAAAUCCGGUUCACUUUAACACUGAGGCGUGACGACGAGGCACUACGGUGCUGAAGCAACAAAUGCCCUGCUUCCAGGAAAAGCCUCUAAGCAUCAGGUAACAUCAAAUCGUACCCCAAACCGACACAGGUGGUCAGGUAGAGAAUACCAAGGCGCUUGAGAGAACUCGGGUGAAGGAACUAGGCAAAAUGGUGCCGUAACUUCGGGAGAAGGCACGCUGACACGUAGGUGAAGUGAUUUACUCAUGGAGCUGAAGUCAGUCGAAGAUACCAGCUGGCUGCAACUGUUUAUUAAAAACACAGCACUGUGCAAACACGAAAGUGGACGUAUACGGUGUGACGCCUGCCCGGUGCCGGAAGGUUAAUUGAUGGGGUCAGCGCAAGCGAAGCUCCUGAUCGAAGCCCCGGUAAACGGCGGCCGUAACUAUAACGGUCCUAAGGUAGCGAAAUUCCUUGUCGGGUAAGUUCCGACCUGCACGAAUGGCGUAAUGAUGGCCAGGCUGUCUCCACCCGAGACUCAGUGAAAUUGAACUCGCUGUGAAGAUGCAGUGUACCCGCGGCAAGACGGAAAGACCCCGUGAACCUUUACUAUAGCUUGACACUGAACAUUGAGCCUUGAUGUGUAGGAUAGGUGGGAGGCUUUGAAGUGUGGACGCCAGUCUGCAUGGAGCCGACCUUGAAAUACCACCCUUUAAUGUUUGAUGUUCUAACGUGGACCCGUAAUCCGGGUUGCGGACAGUGUCUGGUGGGUAGUUUGACUGGGGCGGUCUCCUCCUAAAGAGUAACGGAGGAGCACGAAGGUUGGCUAAUCCUGGUCGGACAUCAGGAGGUUAGUGCAAUGGCAUAAGCCAGCUUGACUGCGAGCGUGACGGCGCGAGCAGGUGCGAAAGCAGGUCAUAGUGAUCCGGUGGUUCUGAAUGGAAGGGCCAUCGCUCAACGGAUAAAAGGUACUCCGGGGAUAACAGGCUGAUACCGCCCAAGAGUUCAUAUCGACGGCGGUGUUUGGCACCUCGAUGUCGGCUCAUCACAUCCUGGGGCUGAAGUAGGUCCCAAGGGUAUGGCUGUUCGCCAUUUAAAGUGGUACGCGAGCUGGGUUUAGAACGUCGUGAGACAGUUCGGUCCCUAUCUGCCGUGGGCGCUGGAGAACUGAGGGGGGCUGCUCCUAGUACGAGAGGACCGGAGUGGACGCAUCACUGGUGUUCGGGUUGUCAUGCCAAUGGCACUGCCCGGUAGCUAAAUGCGGAAGAGAUAAGUGCUGAAAGCAUCUAAGCACGAAACUUGCCCCGA
rnacentral:rRNA from 2 species